rnacentral:misc_RNA from 1 species
UACAGAGACUCCAAGCGUUAUUCGGAUUCACUGGGCGUAAAGGGUGCGCAGGCGGCCAGGUGUGUCAGAGGUGAAAUACUGCAGCUUAACUGUAGAACUGCCUUUGAAACUACCUGGCUAGAGUAUCGGAGAGGGAAGCGGAAUUCCAGGUGUAGCAGUGAAAUGCGUAGAUAUCUGGAGGAACACCAAAGGCGAAGGCAGCUUCCUGGACGAUUACUGACGCUCAGGCACGAAAGCAUGGGGAGCGAAAGGG